CUUCCACCAACACACAUGGCAAAAGAGCCAGGGAUAUAUGAACUCACAUGUAGUGUAAGGAGUUCUGGUAGAAAACCUCCUCCAAAGGCUGAGAUGGGAGAAUGUGUGAGAAAGAGUGUAUGAGAAUAUUGGCCCAGUAUAGAUUUAAAUUUUUUGUAUUUCAGAUAAACUUUGAAGCUAAGCAAAAUACGUUCUAUUUCUAUUAAAAGGAAAACUACUCGAGGAGACAAGUUGUAUAACUUUUUACCCACUUAGCCUGUAAGGGUCACUGAGUUCCCCACGUCUCUAAUUUGCCAAGGAAAGGCCUGACAUCUGUCAUAGGAUGUGUCUAACAGGGCUCUUUAAUCCGGUUCCUGUACUCCACCUCAGCAAGUGGAGUAGUGCUAAAAUCGAGAUUGCAGUUCCGAAUUAGAGGUACUGUGGACACAAUUUGACAUUAUUGGCAUCCGGGAGCUAUCCCAGAAUGCUUCCUUGUGACCACUCUGGACAACACUCUCAACUCCGAUGUACUUGCCAGGAGUUGCAGGGAGAAUGACUUUUUGGAGGAUGAAGAGGAGAAGGAGGAGGACAGUGCACAAGCGACAAGUGGGGACUCCGUUUUCCCCUAUCAAGGUUCCCUCCACUCUGAACUUUAGGGUACAGAUGUGAGGACCUGAAUAAAAGACCCCCUAAGUUUAUUUACCAGCUUAGGUUAACAGUAAGGUGCCACCACCAAGUGUAUUCCAAAUCUUAGGGGAGAGCCACUUGGAACUCUGCCUUUCCCCAAAUAUCUCCCAAGUCCCUAACCUGUCCUUUCCUGGACAGCCUUGAGACUAA